UAAUUAUUAUAGACACUGCAUAGA
rnacentral:piRNA from 1 species